GACGAACGCUGGCGGCGUGCUUAACACAUGCAAGUCGAACGGAAAGGCCCUGCUUUUGUGGGGUGCUCGAGUGGCGAACGGGUGAGUAACACGUGAGUACCCUGCCCUGGCCUUUGGUUUAACUUCAGGAAAUGGGGGCUAAUACCGUAUGGGAUCUCCUGCGUCUGGUGGGGGGUGGGAAAGUUUCGGCGGUUGGGUAGGGACUGGCGGCUUAUCAGCUUGUUGGUGGGGUAGUGGCUUACCAAGGCUUUGACGGGUAGCCGGCCUGACAGGGUGACCGGCAACAUUGGGACUGAGAUACGGCCCAGCCUCCUACGGGAGGCAGCAGUGGGGAAUAUUGCACAAUGGGCGGAAGCCUGAUGCAGCAACGCCGCGUGCGGGAUGACGGCCUUCGGGUUGUAAACCGCUUUCGCCUGUGACGAAGCGUGAGUGACGGUAAUGGGUAAAGAAGCACCGGCUAACUACGUG
rnacentral:rRNA from 1 species